GGAGAAGCUGAGUGAGGUCUAUUUUUUGCCAAAUUAGAAGAUAUCAUUCAAAAUUCUUGGCAUUGAAAAGCACUUAUUUGGAUUCCAGAACUUGGUUUUUUUUCAAAUCUCGAGAAAAGUGCUGGUGAGAGAAUACUUCUUGCUAAAGAAGCAAACUCUCCAGAAUUUCAAAAUAAGAUGUCCUUCCUUUAUGAUGCUCAUGGUUUAUAUAUUAUGGGGAAUGUUCAUGCAAGCAUGAAAGAAAAGUUGUACACUGUAUAGAUGGCAUUGUUAAAUGGUUUGAUUUGUCACACCUGACUACAGAAACAAGGCUCAGCUACAUUUGAUACAUCACAGAUACAGCAUACAUGCAUUUCAUGGUUAUGAGGAGGCCUUUUCUUCAAUGCAAAAGAAGUGAGCUUAUUGAUGACAUCUGGCAGAAAACAGAAUGUAGACAAAAAAAAAAAAAUGUAAUAAAUGUAAAUAAA